AAAAUGGACUAGAAAUAGUUUCUAUUUUCCUUUUAAAAUUUCUAAUUUGCUAAUGAUGUAUAAGUGCGUAUAUGUGAGAGUGUGUGUGUGUUUGUGUGUGUGUGUGUGUAAAGUAACUUUAGCUCUAAGUCCAUGGGCUCAACAUGAAAGCUGAAAUCCCUCUGUCCACCAGGCUAGCCAGGAAAACCCUGCACGUUCUCUGUGAGGAUGAUGAAUUUGGACAUUUUGUGUGCGCAAAGUCACUUGCUUAAAAGUUAUUAGGGAUUAAAAGAGUUGCGGCUGUGGACACAAAUGCGCUUCGGAAUCUGCUUCAUUAGAGACAGAGGCCAUUGCAUGGGACAUGGAACUGUACAGGCAGGACAUGUGUGUAGUCUGUGUGUGUGUGGACGUCCUGCAGAACGGUCCCAAAGAAAACGCAGCAGCACCAAAACUUUGCGCAGUCAUGCCUCCUGAAUACCGCCCCCAAAUCCACCUGAACCCAACCAAAAAGCCCAAGUUUUUGCCGGAGAAAGCGUGAACGAUUAUGACUACCAAUCCUGACUGCUCCUGACUGGCUCUGAUGGCAGGCAGCGUGGCGUUUUAAUAUUGGCCGCUGUAACUUUUGAGACAUCUUAAUUCCCUUCGAGAUAAAUCAAAAAUGGGUAACCAGAUCAGCGAGUGUAUCCAUUGAGUCCGGGGGCUGGUUUUUGCUACACCAAAUUUGUAUUUUUAUUUACAUUUUCAACUUAUGCAUUUUUAUGAGCUGCGCUUUGUGUGGGUGUAAGUGUGUAUGGAUGUGUAUGUGUGUGUGUGUGUGUGUGUGUGGUUUAUCCUUUCAUAAAUGCGUCCAACGGCCAACUGAUUUAUGCCACCACAAGCUGGCGCUGCUGGCAGCCGGUUGCAUCUAUUGACCCCCUUGCCACACCGGCGCUGGCAGUCGCUUCCUGACGACGUCGACGGCAACAAAGUAACAAAACAGCAAACAAAAAUUCCAGAAACAACAUAAAACCGAUUGAUUUAUUUUGACAAUGCUCCAUGCAGUAGUGCCUAGCUACACACGGAACCCAAGUCGGAGUCAGAGUCAGAGUUGGUGGGUCUGAGGCCAAGUCCGGCUGCCAUUGUUUGCACAGGCGUCGCUCGGCCCCAUCGACAUGUUCCAUUCGCAUUUCGGACCGUCAGCAGCACCAGCCCCAACCAUAGCCCAGACUCAGUCCCUGUCCCGGCCGCCCCCAUCACCUUGCCUGCAAAGUUGUCCUCUUUGUCGGUUUGUAAAAUAUUUUAUUUGCACAUCUUUCUUAUUUUAAUCCUUCAUUGCAUUCUGUUUGGUUUGGGCGCCUUGAGCUCCACCCCGGGUUCGGUCUGCAUGCAGCCAGUGUGGGGGAGCGGGAGCCGGUACGAAUACAAUUCCGACUUCGUGUGUUUCUAUGUUGCGGCAAAUGCCCAUAAAACACACGUUAAUUACCCUACAGUAGCCAAGCCCCAAACCCGAAAUCAAGCUUUAUCAUUUAUCCCUGCAAAAUUAUUUAAUGCAAACAAAAAAUUAUCUCGUAGCGUUCCCGGGCGUUACUAUCCGUCCCACCAAGAUAAGCUAACCACAUUCUCUGAAUUGAUGGAUUAUCCGUAAAGCAA